AUGGCGGCAGCCGUUCUGAGUGGGCCCUCUGCGGGCUCCGCGGCUGGGGUUCCUGGCGGGACCGGGGGUCUCUCGGCAGUGAGCUCGGGCCCGCGGCUCCGCCUGCUGCUGCUGGAGAGUGUUUCUGGUUUGCUGCAACCUCGAACGGGGUCUGCCGUUGCUCCGGUGCAUCCCCCAAACCGCUCGGCCCCACAUUUGCCCGGGCUCAUGUGCCUAUUGCGGCUGCAUGGGUCGGUGGGCGGGGCCCAGAACCUUUCAGCUCUUGGGGCAUUGGUGAGUCUCAGUAAUGCACGUCUCAGUUCCAUCAAAACUCGGUUUGAGGGCCUGUGUCUGCUGUCCCUGCUGGUAGGGGAGAGCCCCACAGAGCUAUUCCAGCAGCACUGUGUGUCUUGGCUUCGGAGCAUUCAGCAGGUGUUACAGACCCAGGACCCGCCUGCCACAAUGGAGCUGGCCGUGGCUGUCCUGAGGGACCUCCUCCGAUAUGCAGCCCAGCUGCCUGCACUGUUCCGGGACAUCUCCAUGAACCACCUCCCUGGCCUUCUCACCUCCCUGCUGGGCCUCAGGCCAGAGUGUGAGCAGUCAGCAUUGGAAGGAAUGAAGGCUUGUAUGACCUAUUUCCCUCGGGCUUGUGGUUCUCUCAAAGGCAAGCUGGCCUCAUUUUUUCUGUCUAGGGUGGAUGCCUUGAGCCCUCAGCUCCAACAGUUGGCCUGUGAGUGUUAUUCCCGGCUGCCCUCUUUAGGGGCUGGCUUUUCCCAAGGCCUGAAGCACACCGAGAGCUGGGAGCAGGAGCUACACAGUCUGCUGGCCUCACUGCACACCCUGCUGGGGGCCCUGUACGAGGGAGCAGAGACCGCUCCUGUGCAGAAUGAAGGCCCUGGGGUGGAGAUGCUGCUGUCCUCAGAAGAUGGUGAUGCCCAUGUCCUUCUCCAGCUUCGGCAGAGGUUUUCGGGACUGGCCCGCUGCCUAGGGCUCAUGCUCAGCUCUGAGUUUGGAGCGCCCGUGUCCGUCCCUGUGCAGGAAAUCCUGGAUUUCAUCUGCCGGACCCUCAGCGUCAGUAGCAAGAAUAUUGUAAGUGGGAUUUGUCAUCUCUUCAGAGCCCUUGCUCAGGAUACCAGGCAACCAGGAAAGUACUGGGGACCUGAGUCUCCCCAAACAGUGUCAUCCUGGAGUCGUCCCAGAGAGCUUCCUACUUUUGUCCAAAUAACAUCACUUCCUAUGUGUCGUGACACAGGAGCACAGUGUCAGAGUGUAGCAAAUGCUUCCUUGGGGGAGGGUGAAUUUGGGGAUCAGCUGAGUCAUUGCUGAGAGGCCCAGCCAUCCUUCUUACCUUCCAUCCAGGGUCUAUUUUAGAGGAUAGGGGUUUGAUUUUGUUGGGAGAGCUGAGAUCAGGGGUUGGGUUUCUUACCUAUGUGUACAUAUGUAAAUGGUCUGUCCCUGUUUCUGUCUCUUUCUGGCUCUCACUUUCUUCCCCCACUCUUCAUCUCUGCCACUUUUUUCUCCAGAGCUUGCAUGGAGAUGGUCCCCUGCGGCUGCUGCUGCUGCCCUCUAUCCACCUUGAGGCCUUGGACCUGCUGUCUGCACUCAUCCUCGCGUGAGUGGGAUUGGGCUGGCUGUGGUGAAGGGAUAGGGCAUGCCAGAAACGAGGGUCACCAUUCCUUCUCUGCCCCAGGUGUGGAAGCCGGCUCUUGCGCUUUGGGAUCCUGAUCGGCCGCCUGCUUCCCCAGGUCCUCAAUUCCUGGAGCAUCGGUAGAGAUUCCCUCUCUCCAGGCCAGGAGAGGCCUUAUAGCACGGUUCGGACCAAGGUGUACGCGAUAUUAGAGCUGUGGGUGCAGGUUUGUGGCGCCUCGGCGGGAAUGCUUCAGGGAGGAGCCUCUGGAGAGGCCCUGCUCACCCACCUGCUCAGCGACAUCUCCCCGCCAGCUGAUGCCCUUAAGCUGCGUAGCCCGCGGGGGAGCCCUGAUGGGAGUUUGCAGACUGGGAAGCCUAGCGCCCCCAAGAAGCUAAAGCUGGAUGUGGGGGAAGCUAUGGCCCCGCCAAGCCACCGGAAAGGGGAUAGCAAUGCCAACAGCGACGUGUGUGCGGCUGCACUCAGAGGCCUCAGCCGGACCAUCCUCAUGUGUGGGCCUCUCAUCAAGGAGGAGACUCACAGGAGACUGCAUGACCUGGUCCUCCCCCUGGUCAUGGGUGUACAGCAGGGUGAGGUCCUAGGCAGCUCCCCGUACACGAGCUCCCGCUGCCGCCGUGAACUCUACUGCCUGCUGCUGGCGCUGCUGCUGGCCCCGUCUCCUCGCUGCCCACCUCCUCUUGCCUGUGCCCUGCAAGCCUUCUCCCUCGGCCAGCGAGAAGAUAGCCUUGAGGUCUCCUCUUUCUGCUCAGAAGCACUGGUGACCUGUGCUGCUCUGACCCACCCCCGGGUUCCUCCCCUGCAGCCCAUGGGCCCCACCUGCCCCACACCUGCUCCAGUUCCCCCUCCUGAGGCCCCAUCGCCCUUCAGGGCCCCACCCUUCCAUCCUCCGGGCCCCAUGCCCUCAGUGGGCUCCAUGCCCUCAGCAGGCCCCAUGCCUUCAGCAGGCCCCAUGCCCUCAGCAGGCCCUGUGUCCUCGGCACGCCCUGGACCUCCCACCACAGCCAACCACCUAGGCCUUUCUGUCCCAGGCCUAGUGUCUGUCCCUCCCCGGCUUCUUCCUGGCCCUGAGAACCACCGGGCAGGCUCAAAUGAGGACCCCAUCCUUGCCCCUAGUGGGACUCCCCCACCUACUAUACCCCCAGAUGAAACUUUUGGGGGGAGAGUGCCCAGACCAGCCUUUGUCCACUAUGACAAGGAGGAGGCAUCUGAUGUGGAGAUCUCCUUGGAAAGUGACUCUGAUGACAGCGUGGUGAUCGUGCCCGAGGGGCUUCCCCCCCUGCCACCCCCACCACCCUCAGGUGCCACACCACCCCCUAUAGCCCCCACUGGGCCACCAACAGCCUCCCCUCCUGUGCCAGCGAAGGAGGAGCCUGAAGAACUUCCUGCAGCCCCAGGGCCUCUCCCGCCACCCCCACCUCCGCCCCCGCCUGUUCCUGGUCCUGUGACGCUCCCUCCACCCCAGUUGGUCCCUGAAGGGACUCCUGGUGGGGGAGGACCCCCAGCCCUGGAAGAGGAUUUGACAGUUAUUAAUAUCAACAGCAGUGAUGAAGAGGAGGAGGAAGAGGAAGAAGAGGAGGAAGAAGAGGAAGAGGAGGAAGAGGAGGAAGACUUUGAGGAAGAGGAAGAGGAUGAAGAGGAAUAUUUUGAAGAGGAAGAAGAGGAGGAAGAAGAGUUUGAGGAAGACUUUGAGGAAGAAGAAGGUGAGUUAGAGGAAGAAGAGGAAGAGGAGGAUGACGAGGAGGAGGAACUGGAAGACGUGGAAGACCUGGAGUUUGGCACAGCAGGAGGGGAGGUAGAAGAAGGUGCACCUCCACCCCCAACCCUGCCUCCGGCUCUGCCUCCCCCUGAGUCUCCCCCAAAGGUGCAGCCAGAACCCGAACCCGAACCCGGGCUGCUUUUGGAAGUGGAGGAGCCAGGGACGGAGGAGGAGCGUGGGGCUGACACAGCUCCCACCCUGGCCCCUGAAGCGCUCCCCUCCCAGGGAGAGGUGGAGAGGGAAGGGGAAAGCCCUGCAGCAGGGCCCCCUCCCCAGGAGCUUGUUGAAGAAGAGCCCUCUGCUCCCCCAACCCUGUUGGAAGAGGAGACUGAGGAUGGGAGUGACAAGGUGCAGCCCCCACCAGAGACACCUGCAGAAGAAGAGAUGGAGACAGAGACAGAGGCCGAAGCUCUCCAGGAAAAGGAGCAGGAUGACACAGCUGCCAUGCUGGCCGACUUCAUCGAUUGUCCCCCUGAUGAUGAGAAGCCACCACCUCCCACAGAGCCUGACUCCUAGCCAUCUUCUGCACCCCACUCUUUGUUUCCAAUAAAGUUAUGUCCUUAGAUA
rnacentral:sRNA from 1 species